GUGGGGAAUAUUGGGCAAUGGGCGAAAGCCUGACCCAGCAACGCCGCGUGAAGGAAGAAGGUCUUCGGAUCGUAAACUUCUAUCCUUGGUGAAGAUAAUGACGGUAGCCGAGAAGGAAGCCCCGGCUAACUACGUGCCAGCAGCCGCGGUAAUACGUAGGGGGCAAGCGUUGUCCGGAAUGAUUGGGCGUAAAGGGCGCGUAGGCGGCCUGGUAAGUCUGGAGUGAAAGUCCUGCUUUUAAGGUGGGAAUUGCUUUGGAUACUGUCGGGCUUGAGUGCAGGAGAGGUAAGUGGAAUUCCCGGUGUAGCGGUGAAAUGCGUAGAGAUCGGGAGGAACACCAGUGGCGAAGGCGACUUACUGGACUGUAACUGACGCUGAGGCGCGAAAGUGUGGGGAGCAAACAGGAUUAGAUACCCGGGUAGUCC
rnacentral:rRNA from 1 species